UAUGUCAGAAUCAUACAUAGGUUCUGAACAUGCUCAGAGCUGAGAUGGUAAAACGCUGGACGUAGUAGAGAGUUCAUGAAUUGAAUUUGCCAUGACUGCAAAAGAAUAUCUGAAAACUAAAUCGAGGAUUGAAUAAAAGCUUGAACUAAA